AAAAAAGUUUUCGGCUCUAUUUAUAAACGAAUACCAGAGGCCAGAACGGCUGUACAGGCCUGGAGGAGCUAUGGAAAACGGAUCAAAGAAAUGGGGUUUUCAGGCCGAUAAGGGCCUCAACGCAGCCUCGGCUAUAACAGUUCGUGGAGUUCUCAACGAGUUAAUCGAGAGUCUCAACAAACAAGACCAAAGACCAGUUAUUCCUCUCGGUCACGGCGACCCUUCUGCCUUCCCUUGCUUCCGUACCACUUCUGUUGCCGAAGAUGCCAUUGUCGACGCCUUAAAGUCCGCCAAAUUCAACUGCUAUGCACCGACUGUUGGUAUUCUUACUGCCAGGAGGGCUAUUGCAGAUCACCUUAAUCGUGACCUCCCAUUCAAGUUAUCACCAGAUGAUGUUUUUGUUACACUUGGAUGC
rnacentral:misc_RNA from 1 species